AUGGAAUUCAGAUCCAAAUCAUGCAAGGAUCAAAAUUUUCAGAUUGAAAGCUACAAUGGUGGAAGAGUAGCUCCAACUAGCAUGCAAGAUCUGAGAAGUUAUAGUACAAGCUAUGCUGGUUUUGAUCAAAACAAGCAGAUAGAAAAAGGAAAAAGAACAAAAAGUUGGAGUUUUAGUGAUCCUGAGUUGCAGAGAAAGAAAAGAGUAGCUGGUUAUAAAAUAUAUUCUGUUGAAGAGAAAAUGAAAGGGUCUUUGAAGAAGAGUUUUAGGUGGAUCAAGAACACAUGCAGUAAAUUAUGGUGA